rnacentral:lncRNA from 1 species
CUUUCUUCUAAAAUGUGCCACAGGAUUUUCAAGUGUGUUUUCAUUUGUAAUCUGAGUGUUCCUACUGCUAGGAAAGUUAACUUCACUUUUCUUCCAGCAGUUUCUGGAAGGAGGCAUGGUGGCUUCUAUCAGGAAAGCCCAUCCCGUGUGCUCCAUUCUCUCCCAGCCACUCCCCACGCUGCUGCCCACCUCCUCUGGGUCACGACUCUGUUCAGACCGGGGUGGGGAGAAGCCGGCUCAGGGGAGCACAGGCCAGAUGAGCCCUGCCUUCUCCAUCUUUAUACUCAGGGAUUUUUCUCUCAGGACACACGGAGCAUGUGCCUUCAAUCUGAUUUCCUUUGUGGGGCUCGGUCCAGCAGAACUAUCUGCAUAUACACUAGUUUCAAAUGUCCCUACAGAGCUCCUGCUCUGCCAGGUGCGUCAGGAGAUGUGGCUGGACGUUGUUCUCAGGGGCAGUUAAGAACUGUCAAUGUUCCACGGCAGUUAGGAGGCGAGGUCGCCGGGAGCGCUGCAGCUGACCUCUGGGUCAGAGGUCAUAAGCGCUAAGGCUCCCCAGCUCUACCCUUUCACAUGCACAUAACAAACCACUUGUAAUUUUUCAUUUCCAAGGAUGUGUUCGGUCCUGUUCAGAAUACAACUCCCUCUUCCCACACACACCCCUACGUUAAAGAAUUCUGGGUAUUUGCUAUGCCCACACUUGGACCGGGCAGACCUCAAAAUGGGUUCCCAGAGUGCACAAGCACAAGGGGGCAGCACUCUUGUGCUAAAGGGGCUGAGAUGCUGGCACAGGGCCAGCAGGGAAAGGUCAUGAGCAAAGAGGGAAGUUGCUGGACAGGGAUCAGGAACCCAGGCAAAGCUCACGAAGGCGACAGAGUUCCUUCAUACCUGGAUAUGAGCAAGAAGACCAAGUGAUUUUUUUAUUUUUUUUGCAAGGGCUAUGGAUCUGCAGUUUUCCUUUUGUGCCAUUUUUGUCUAGGUUAACGCUAGCAUCAUAAAAGGAGUGGGGAAGUGCUCCUUUAGCUUCCAGUUUUUGGAGAAGAUUGUGGAAAAGUGGUGUUACAUCUUCACGCACUUGGUUGAAUUCUGCCAUGAAAUCAUCAAGACCUGGAGAUUUCUUUUUUUCGGGUGUUUUUAAUAUUAUGAAUCCAAGUUCUCCAGGCCGGGGAUCAAACUCGUUCCUUAGCAGCGACACUGUUGGAUCCUUGACCUUCUGCACCAUAGCAGGAACUCCUAGUUUUACUUUUUUUUUUUAGGAACUUCCAAACUGUUUUCCGUAGUGGCUGCACCAAUUUUCAGUCCCGCUAAUAGUUCACAGGGUUUUCUUUUCUCCACAUCUUCACCAGCACUGGUUAUUUUUUACCUUUUUGAUGGUGGCUGUUCGAACAGGUGUGAGGUGGUAUCUCAUUGCAUUUCCCUGAUGAUUAGUGGUGCUGAGCAUCUUUUCAUGUGCCUGUCAACCAUGUGUCUUCUUCGGAAAAUGUCUAUUCAGUUCCUCUGCCCAUGUGUUUGUUGGAUUGUUUGUUGUUGUUGCUGUCAUUGAGCUGUG